AUGACCACCUGCCUCCCCCACUUCAAGAACCUACUUGCUGGCCUCAACAGCACAUCCGGGGUGCCACCGGUCACGUGCGUCGUGGCAGAUAACCUCAUGAGUUUCGGCAUGGACGCCGCAAGGGAGCUCGGCGUGCCGGCCGCGCUGCUCUGGACGGCCAGCGCCAGCGGCUACAUGGGCUACCGCAACUUCCGUCUCCUCAUCGACCAGGGCAUCAUUCCCCUCAAAGAUGAAGAGCAACUGACAGACGGGUUCAUGGACAUGCCGGUGGACUGGGCGCCUGGGAUGAGCAAGUACAUGCGGCUGAAAGACUUCCCAACAAUUCUCCGCACGACAGACCGCGACGACAUCGCGCUAAACUUCAAGCUACACCAUGUGGAGCGUGCCGAGGCCGCGGAUGCAGUCAUCAUCAACACCAUGGACGAGCUCGAGCAGCCGGCGCUCGACGUGAUGCGUGCCAUCAUACCGGCCAUCUACACCAUCGGUCCGCUCAACUCCCUCACCGACCAAAUCGUCCCCUGCAUGGACCCCCAGCACAAGGGCCCAGCGGAAAAGGCCCCUGAUCGGGAGAGGAAAAGGCAAAGUAUCGAUCGACCAGGCACGCGGACGUCUCGCCUCCUGGUUCGCUUGUCUGUUCGACUUCGACGCCUCGCCUCGGCCGCCUGCCUGUGUCGCUGCGCGGUUGCGCCUCCGGCCCUGACCCCCGAGAUCCUGCAGUGGAGAUCGCCCAGGCCGUGA
rnacentral:rRNA from 1 species